UAUCUCCUUUGGGGCUGAGAGUCCAGAGGUCUCUGGAAGCUUAUUUAUUUCACUGGCAACAUGCUCCUCUGUCAGUUUUUUAUUUGGUGGUGCAGUUCAUUCUUUAUUCCAGUAGGUGUCACUUAAGAGUAAGAGCCAGCUUUCCCUUAGGUAACCCAGUAAGGAGUGGAGGCUUCCACCCUAACGGGGAGUGAUGGGGAAAGAGAUGGCCUUGGGAUGGGCUGAGGUCUUGAGGGAAGGGGCACCAGCUCCUCAUCCUGCAUGCCUUAUUUAUUAAGAACCCAAUUAGCAUCUGAGAAUUGUUGCCACGAGUCAGGUGACCAGAUGCCUUAAGAAUAUCUGUUCUCUUACCUUGCUGCUUCUUCCAUUUGGGCUUUACCUCUUCUUUCCCACUCCUCCAUCCACGGUGGAAAAAAAGAAAAAGAAAGAAAGAAAGAAGGAAGGAAGGAAGGAAGGAAGGAAGGAAGGAAGGAAGGAAGGAAGGAAGGAAGGAAGGAAGAAAGAAAGAAAGAAAGAAAGAAAGUGAAAGAAAGAAAGGAAAGAAAGAAAAAGAAAAGAAAAGAGGCGCCAUGAGCUUGUCACCUUCUCUAAUGGAGGAAGAGGUCAAUGGCGAACAUUUUCUACACUUUAAUGGCAGCAUAACAAAGAAGACAUCUAAGGAAUUUUACUCAUCAGUGUGGAGUAAUGGGCAGGCGUAUUGAAAUGGUCUCUGGAGUAAUGAGCAGGCAUAUUGAAAUGGUUGCCUUUGGACCCUCCACAUACCCCACCCUGUAAACAUACAAACCCCAAGUUCCACUGGCAGAGAAGCAGAGUAGCAUGGCAGAGAAGGAGAGAAGAGAAGAAGCAUAUGAAUAUUGAAAGGAGAAGAGGCAACUUAACACCAGAGACUACAGUCAGAAAGGAGUUCCUCCAGGGAUGGUCAGAGAAGAUUUCGUCCAGGGAUGGCUGAACUCCAGGGGAAGAUUAUCUUCCCACUCCAUCCCCUUUCCAGCUCCCCAACCUGCUGAGAGCCACUUCCACAGCUCAAUAAAUCUCUGCAUUCACCAUCUUUCAGGUUCAUGUGACCUGAUUCUUCCUGGAUGCUAGACAAGAACCCGGUUACCAGAGGGCAUGGAGUGAAAGGAUGUCACCCUAGCCCUCCACUCAACUGGUUAACACUUAGCUGUCCAUAGACAGAAAAUGCUAAAAAGCAUUGUUUGUAACACUUGCCUUCUGGGGCUUCAGAGGUCAUGUGCAACCCCUGGAUGCUGCCACAGGCUGGUACAAGGUAUGUUUCUGCUGUCGCCCGAAGGCAUUCGCCCCAGCUCCUCCACCUGCUCAACUGUAUGCUCACCCUUCCACAAGGGGUUUGAGCCACCGCUGUCUCAAGUCCCUCAAGGGCGUCAAGGGAACUCUCACAUCUCAGAUUCUAAAUUAAUACCACUCAACAGAAAAUUUCAACAAUAUAGGAUUCAUCUACCAUGAAGCAUGUAUCUGUAAUGAAUAUGAAAUAGUUGAGAUUGCCUGAGUGGCCACUUUCUCACAUGCUUCCAAAAAAUUUUGUAUGCUUUUAAACUUCAAAAUAAUUAUGAUGCUACUUCCUCAUUUUUCUAGCAAAUUCUUGGAUGAUAUUUAUGUCCUUUUACAUUUGAAAGUUAUAACCACAGACUUGAGAUAAACGAAUAAGAUAGUGCAUCUAGUUGUAAGCCUAUAUAAAAGUACAUUAUAAACGACAGGGAAGAUAUUUGAGUAGAUAAGGGCAAGCCUGGAAAGAAGGACAUUUAAGCUUUCAUCCCAAUUUGACCAUCAAUUAUAGAGACAUACGCAACUUUGAAAUUGCUUUCCUUGAUAGUGAAAUAAUAGAUACACUGCAAAUGUCUAUAUAUUUGACAUAUUAUUUAAUUUAUAAAAUAUCUUUUGAUAUCUUUGAAACUGAUCAUUAAAAUAUGAAGUUGUAACUCAAAUGUUGUAAUUUUCUUUCACUUUAAUAUAUACUGUCUUGUUCCAGACACUGUGUUUGUUAUAAAAGUCUUUAUUAUACAAUUGUUAAAUAAUUACUUUUAUAAAUGGUCUCUCAUUUAUUCCUGAAAUGCAGGUAUUUUUCUCCUUUUUGUAUUAUUGACGAGGAGACUAGGGCUUAGAGUCAGACUAGUUACUGUUGUGGGUUGAAUUGUGACCUCAAAGAGAUACAUUGAAAUCUUAAUCUCUGGUACCUGUGAAUUGAAACUUAUUUGAAAGUAGGACCUUUGAAGAUGUGAUCAUAUAAGAAUGUGGUUAUUCUGGAUUCUUUUGGGCUCUGAUCCAAUACCACCAAGGUCCUUAUAAGAAGUGAAGAAGCACAGAUACACACACAUGAGCGCGCACACACACACACACACGAGUCUACUAUGUGAAGAUGGAGCCAAAGAUUGGAGUGAUGAGCCUACAAGUAAAGGGACAUUAAGGAUUUCCAACAACUACCAGAAACUAGGAAGGAGACAUGAAACUGAUUCUCCCUCAGGGCCUUCAGAAGGAGCUGACACAGCUAACACUUUGAUUUCAGACUUUAGUCUCCAG
rnacentral:lncRNA from 1 species